rnacentral:lncRNA from 1 species
GUGCAGCUGGUGGAGUCUGGGGGAGGCUUGGUAGAGCCUGGGGGGUCCCUGAGACUCUCCUGUGCAGCCUCUGGAUUCACCUUCAGUAACAGUGACAUGAACUGGGUCCGCCAGGCUCCAGGAAAGGGGCUGGAGUGGGUAUCGGGUGUUAGUUGGAAUGGCAGUAGGACGCACUAUGCAGACUCUGUGAAGGGCCGAUUCAUCAUCUCCAGAGACAAUUCCAGGAACUUCCUGUAUCAGCAAAUGAACAGCCUGAGGCCCGAGGACAUGGCUGUGUAUUACUGUGUGAGA